rnacentral:lncRNA from 1 species
CCAUCUCAAAUUUUAUGACUUUCAGCUAUAUAUCUGAGUCUUUACUCAUAACAGCUUCUGAAUAGAUCAGUGGAUCAUCAUCCUGAAUGAUGUUGAUCGAAUUAUCUCUUUCAAUGACAAAAUCAUAUCUCAGAGGUGCUUGACGCACUCUAUCUGACCUUCAGAGAGGAGGUGUGUAUUGUGGAUGUACCUCAUCCUUGGGUACUUCUGAUU